ensembl:lncRNA
CUUUCUCGGGUCCAUAACAAGCGCAGGCAGCUAUUCAAAUGCAAGUUGCGUCCCCAAUUGCGCGGCUGGCCUGAGCAAAAGAAGCCGCUCAACGCGGGGCGAGCCAAGACCAGCGAGCGCUAGGGUUUUGGGUCACCUCUUUUCUCCGGGUUUCCCCCUCGCUCUUCUGUUCCUGAAUUAGCUGUUUAUUUACAGCUACAAACGUGUGUGAGCCAGCAAGCCAGCUCGUGAGGCCGGGCAUUGAUCUUUACCGAGACUCAAAGCUGAAACCGAAGGAGUGCAGGGGAUUUGGGGUUCUGAGUGGGACUCAGACCCUGGGUACCGAUGGGGCUUUCUUGCCCGCUUCCCUUAUCCUCGCGACCUUGCAGGAAUCCUCAAGCUUGAGAGCCGCCGGGCCUCGGGCUUUGGAGAAAGUGGCGACCGCUGCAUCCCAGUCUUUAAAAUGAACGCAAAGAAAGGAGGCAUAUCUGAAACCUGGUCGCGUGUCAGAAGCAACCUGCCGUGAAAUCCGCUAAUGCGCCGGGACUCGCCCUCCGCGCAUGUAGCCACAGCAAAUUAUUGCUCAUUUGAUACCCAGAAUUCUAUUGACCAUGGCUUUUGUCGGAGAGAGAAUUCUAACUACUGGCUGCUCUGAGUUUAGAGCUGAGGCUGGAAACACUGAAAUCCAGCCCUGACCUGCAGGAAUUGAUGGACAUGUGUUGGUGACAUGAAGCCACGUGGACACGCAUAGAAACCUGCUUUUUACUCUGCUGGCCUUGCCCCCAUUCAGGCAAAAGGUCAGCCCCUUUGGAACGGAUAUGCCUGCUUGGAAGGCUCAGUAUUCGUUUGGCAAGUUCUUUCCAGCUCUAGCCAGGCAGAGGAAGAAAAAUGAGACAAUGGAAGAUUUCUCCUCUGCCUUUUGGUCAAAGCUAGCCCAAGGCAGGAAUGCUUAAAGAGGCAUUAAAGCAUGGCUCCGAAACAAAAGAUUCUUGAUUUUGCUAUAUGAAUACCAAUUCCUAAAUUUCAUCCUCCUCCCAUUCUUCCAAGACUCCACAGCAUUCCAGAGUGGCUAGAGUGGAGUGAGCUAUCUGAGAUGAGUCUGGAUGCUGUUGGCACCCAGCCUCCAUGACAAGAGCCACGGCUAUAGUGUCCAGCUGUGUAAAGGAGGAGCCUGUGAUUAGAGAAUACCUGAUCUUUGACCCUGGAACUCACAGCUCCAGGUUACUGGCGAGAGGCUGGCCCCAAAAUGAGUCUGGAGAAGAGGGUCUCGGAAUGGGAAGGCCAGUUGAGUUCCUCAGGAAGCUGGUUGUGGUAUUUGCCUUCCAGAUCCAAGGAGCUGAUGCUACUCCGAAGCAGGAGACCUGAAGACUUAACCUGCCAAAGGCUGCCUGCCCAUUCCCUUCAUAGCCUAGUGAGAGACCCACACCCCUCCUCCUCACUGCCUCCUCUGGGAGAAAGUCGCUCCACUCAAAAGAGAAUGAGCCCAGCUGGAUUGGACCACAGAGUCCGUCAGAUUUCCAAGGAACAAGCAAUCCAGUCCGUACCAUUCUUCUUCAGCUCUGACACCAUGGAAGAGGUGACUGGCAGUGUGUUCAUUUCUACAAGCUAAGCCCUCAAAGCUGAUUUCCAGAACAGCAGCAACAACAACCAAAAGAAGCAAUUAAAGAUUUUCUAAAUGAGUCCCAGCAUGUGCCACCUCCAAAGAGCACUGGCUCAAAACCUGAAGGUGAAUUUAAGGGUGCUAAAGAAGCUAGCCAGAAUAUUGUUAAAUGUGUAUGAAGCCACUGUCAAGAAGCCACAUUGUUCCAGAACGAGGCACCAAAGAUGUGGACAUGGGCACCGAAGAAAGCAUAAACAGGGUGGAGUAGAAGUGAAGAAACUAGGGUGGAUUCUAACACUCAACUUGGGGAUUUGGGGAGCAUAGAGACAGACACACGCUGUUGGCUCUUUUGUUUUUUGUUUUAAAGCAUUUAAAAAACAAACAGAAGCCGGCUGUUGAUGUAAUCAUGGCAUGUCCAAUGUAGUAUAUUCCUCAAGUAUGCUCCCAGCCACUACACUUAAAAUAUCUACUAGCCUAGACUUCAGUGGAAAACAAACAAACAAACAAUUUGCUGAUUCUAGCAUAAGCUCUGAAAACCAAAAACCAAACAAAAAAAAACAUAAACAAAAACACAUGCACACGGAAGGGAUAGGAGGGGAGGCAGAUUUCAAACAGUUGUUCCUAUACCGGGUGGCUGACUGAGUUCUGGAUCUGUAGAGUGCGGAAAAAGCAAAGUAGAUCAUCCUGAAACCAAAGAUACCUUGAGUAUCAAGACUUGAGACCUGGGGUUAAGGUCAUGUUGGGGUUACCCAGCAUUUCCUUGGAGCAAGGCAGAGCUGAAAACUUCUCAGCAGGACUCAAUUUUCUUUGGCCUAGAGAUUGGGAAAUUUCUUCUGGCACACCAACAAUCACCUCCCCAGGUUAAGGUACCCUCCUAUCUCCUCAGGGAGCUCCUGGUGUGGCACUGCACUUCCCAACUGCCUGAUCAGCCCCCUCAGGGUUUUGCCAGGCAAAUGAAACAAAAAGAACUCAAUAGUAAAUUAUUUUGUUUAGCC